rnacentral:rRNA from 1 species
ACACAUGCAAGUCGAACGGAAACGAUGGAAGCUUGCUUCCAGGCGUCGAGUGGCGAACGGGUGAGUAAUGCUUGGGAAUCUGCCUAAUAGUGGGGAACAACUCGGGGAAACUCGGGCUAAUACCGCAUAAUCUCUUCGGAGGAAAGGGGGCCUCUACAUGUAAGCUCUCGCUAAUAGAUGAGCCCAAGUCAGAUUAGCUUGUUGGUAAGGUAACGGCUUACCAAGGCUACGAUCUGUAGCUGGUCUGAGAGGAUGAUCAGCCACACUGGGACUGAGACACGGCCCAGACUCCUACGGGAGGCAGCAGUGGGGAAUAUUGCACAAUGGGCGAAAGCCUGAUGCAGCAAUGCCGCGUGUGUGAAGAAGGCUCUAGGGUUGUAAAGCACUUUCAAUAAGGAAGAAAAGCAUAAGGUUAAUAACCUUAUGUAUUGACGUAACUUAUACAAGAAGCACCGGCUAAUUCCGUGCCAGCAGCCGCGGUAAUACGGAAGGUGCAAGCGUUAAUCGGAAUUACUGGGCGUAAAGCGCGCGUAGGCUGUUAUCUAAGUCGGAUGUGAAAUCCUCGGGCUCAACCCGGGAACUGCAUCCGAAACUAAAUAACUAGAGUAUGGGAGAGGUAAGUAGAAUUUCCGGUGUAGCGGUGAAAUGCGUAGAUAUCGGAAGGAAUACCAGUGGCGAAGGCGGCUUACUGGACCAAUACUGACGCUGAGGUGCGAAAGCGUGGGGAGCGAACAGGAUUAGAUACCCUGGUAGUCCACGCCGUAAACGAUGAGAACUAGAUGUUGGGAGGGUUAGCCUCUCAGUGUCGCAGCUAACGCAUUAAGUUCUCCGCCU